rnacentral:rRNA from 1 species
UACGAACCGUGCAAACGUUGUUCGGAAUCACUGGGCUUAAAGGGCGCGUAGGCGGACUCGCCAGUCUGUGGUGAAAGCCCCCGGCUCAACCGGGGAAGUGCCGUGGAUACUGCGAGUCUGGAGGAGGGUAGGGGCAUCUGGAACGCUGGGUGGAGCGGUGAAAUGCGUUGAUAUCCAGCGGAACUCCGGUGGCGAAGGCGAGGUGCUGGACCCUUUCUGACGCUGAUGCGCGAAAGCCAGGGGAGCAAACGGG